rnacentral:rRNA from 1 species
CUGCGUACCUUUUGUAUAAUGGGUCAGCGACUUAUAUUCUGUAGCAAGGUUAACCGAAUAGGGGAGCCGAAGGGAAACCGAGUCUUAACUGGGCGUUAAGUUGCAGGGUAUAGACCCGAAACCCGGUGAUCUAGCCAUGGGCAGGUUGAAGGUUGGGUAACACUAACUGGAGGACCGAACCGACUAAUGUUGAAAAAUUAGCGGAUGACUUGUGGCUGGGGGUGAAAGGCCAAUCAAACCGGGAGAUAGCUGGUUCUCCCCGAAAGCUAUUUAGGUAGCGCCUCGUGAAUUCAUCUCCGGGGGUAGAGCACUGUUUCGGCAAGGGGGUCAUCCCGACUUACCAACCCGAUGCAAACUGCGAAUACCGGAGAAUGUUAUCACGGGAGACACACGGCGGGUGCUAACGUCCGUCGUGAAGAGGGAAACAACCCAGACCGCCAGCUAAGGUCCCAAAGUCAUGGUUAAGUGGGAAACGAUGUGGGAAGGCCCAGACAGCCAGGAUGUUGGCUUAGAAGCAGCCAUCAUUUAAAGAAAGCGUAAUAGCUCACUGGUCGAGUCGGCCUGCGCGGAAGAUGUAACGGGGCUAAACCAUGCACCGAAGCUGCGGCAGCGACGCUUAUGCGUUGUUGGGUAGGGGAGCGUUCUGUAAGCCUGUGAAGGUGUGCUGUGAGGCAUGCUGGAGGUAUCAGAAGUGCGAAUGCUGACAUAAGUAACGAUAAAGCGGGUGAAAAGCCCGCUCGCCGGAAGACCAAGGGUUCCUGUCCAACGUUAAUCGGGGCAGGGUGAGUCGACCCCUAAGGCGAGGCCGAAAGGCGUAGUCGAUGGGAAACAGGUUAAUAUUCCUGUACUUGGUGUUACUGCGAAGGGGGGACGGAGAAGGCUAUGUUGGCCGGGCGACGGUUGUCCCGGUUUAAGCGUGUAGGCUGGUUUUCCAGGCAAAUCCGGAAAAU